UCCCAUAUAGUCUAGGCGGUUAGGAUAGCUGGCUCUCACCCAGCAUUCGAGUCCCGGUGUGGGAC